CCAGACUCCUAGGGAGGCAGCAGUGGGGAAUAUUGGACAAUGGACCAAGAGUCUGAUCCAGCAAUUCUGUGUGCACGAUGAAGUUUUUCGGAAUGUAAAGUGCUUUCAGUUGGGAAGAAAGAGAUGACGGUACCAACAGAAGAAGUGACGGCUAAAUACGCGCCAGCAGCCGCGGUAAUACGUAUGUCACGAGCGUUAUCCGGAUUUAUUGGGCGUAAAGCGCGUCUAGGUGGUUAUGUAAGUCUGAUGUGAAAAUGCAGGGCUCAACUCUGUAUUGCGUUGGAAACUGUAUAACUAGAGUACUGGAGAGGUAAGCGGAACUACAAGUGUAGAGGUGAAAUCCGUAGAUAUUUGUAGGAAUGCCGAUGGGGAAGCCAGCUUACUGGACAGAUACUGACGCUGAAGCGCGAAAGCGUGGGUAGCAAACAGGAUUAGAUACCCUGGUAGUCCACGCCGUAAACGAUGAUUACUAGGUGUUGGGGGUCGAACCUCAGCGCCCAAGCAAACGCGAUAAGUAAUCCGCCUGGGGAGUACGUACGCAAGUAUGAAACUCAAAGGAAUUGACGGGGGCCCGCACAAG
rnacentral:rRNA from 1 species